GAUGAACGCUGGCGGCGUGCCUAAUACAUGCAAGUCGAGCGAACAGACGAGGAGCUUGCUCCUCUGAUGUUAGCGGCGGACGGGUGAGUAACACGUGGAUAACCUACCUAUAAGACUGGGAUAACUUCGGGAAACCGGAGCUAAUACCGGAUAACAUGUUGAACCGCAUGGUUCAACAGUGAAAGACGGUCUUGCUGUCACUUAUAGAUGGAUCCGCGCCGCAUUAGCUAGUUGGUAAGGUAACGGCUUACCAAGGCAACGAUGCGUAGCCGACCUGAGAGGGUGAUUGGCCACACUGGAACUGAGACACGGUCCAGACUCCUACGGGAGGCAGCAGUAGGGAAUCUUCCGCAAUGGGCGAAAGCCUGACGGAGCAACGCCGCGUGAGUGAAGAAGGUCUUCGGAUCGUAAAACUCUGUUAUUAGGGAAGAACAAAUGUGUAAGUAACUAUGCACGUCUUGACGGUACCUAAUCAGAAAGCCACGGCUAACUACGUG
rnacentral:rRNA from 1 species